AUGAAAGACUGCCCCAUGCGCAGGAAGUCUAGGCAGCGUCGUGAGCAGGAGGACCGAGCAGAGGGAAGGAGGGACUGGGCGGAAGGGGGCAGGGAACAUCGUCAGGGUGAAUACUGGAGAAGACAGGACGAGAAACGGUGCUGCUUCCUGUGUGGAAGCCAUGCCCACAUCAAGAAAGACUGCCCCCAGUACAGAGGACCUGCCUUUUCUUCACCUCCCUCUACUAGCCACAUGAGGAAUUUGAGAGAGAGAAAAACAGGUAUGAUGAAUACUCGCAGAAACAUUGACGUUCACUCACACGCCUGGUCUAACCCUAGUGUGUUUAUUUGUCCAGGACUUCCCUCAACCUGGUCUAACCCUAGUGUGUUUAUUUGUCCAGGACUCCCCUCAACCUGGUCUAACCCUAGUGUGUUUAUUUGUCCAGGACUCUCCUCAACCUGGUCUAACCCUAGUGUGUUUAUUUGUCCAGGACUCUCCUCAACCUGGUCUAACCCUAGUGUGUUUAUUUGUCCAGGACUCUCCUCAACCUGGUCUAAUCCUAGUGUGUUUAUUUGUCCAGGACUCUCCUCAACCUGGUCUAAUCCUAGUGUGUUUAUUUGUCCAGGACUCCCUCAACCUGGUCUAACCCUAGUGUGUUUAUUUGUCCAGGACUCUCCUCAACCUGGUCUAACCCUAGUGUGUUUAUUUGUCCAGGACUCUCCUCAACCUGGUCUAACCCUAGUGUGUUUAUUUGUCCAGGACUCUCCUCAACCUGGUCUAAUCCUAGUGUGUUUAUUUGUCCAGGACUCUCCUCAACCUGGUCUAAUCCUAGUGUGUUUAUUUGUCCAGGACUCUCCUCAACCUGGUCUAAUCCUAGUGUGUUUAUUUGUCCAGGACUCUCCUCAACCUGGUCUAAUGCUAGUGUGUUUAUUUGUCCAGGACUCUCCUCAACCUGGUCUAACCCUAGUGUGUUUAUUUGUCCAGGACUCUCCUCAACCUGGUCUAAUCCUAGUGUGUUUAUUUGUCCAGGACUCCCUCAACCUGGUCUAA
rnacentral:lncRNA from 8 species